rnacentral:rRNA from 1 species
GACGAACGCUGGCGGCGUGCUUAACACAUGCAAGUCGAACGGUAAGGCCCUUCGGGGUACACGAGUGGCGAACGGGUGAGUAACACGUGGGUGAUCUGCCCUGCACUUCGGGAUAAGCCUGGGAAACUGGGUCUAAUACCGGAUAGGACUCCUGGCUUCAUGGUUGGGGGUGGAAAGCUUUUGCGGUGUGGGAUGGGCCCGCGGCCUCUCAGCUAGUUGGUGGGGUAAUGGCCUACCAAGGCGACGACGGGUAGCCGGCCUGAGAGGGUGACCGGUGACACUGGGACGGAGAGACGGCCCAGGCUACUACGGGAGGCAGCAGUGGGGAAUAUUGCACAAUGGGCGCAAGACUGAUGCAGCGACGCCGCGGGAGGGAUGACGGCCUUCGGGUUGUAAACCUCUUUCAGCUAUGACGAAGCGCAAGUGACGGUAGUAGCAGAAGAAGGACCGGCCAACUACGUGCCAGCAGCCGCGGUAA